AAGUGCAUGUAAGUACACAGAAAUAAACAGUCAAAAGAACUGCCACAGUCUAAAUUGCCCACAGUGCCGUCCUUACGUGUCAGCGCUCCGCCGAUGAAAAUAUUCUCCAAAGAAAAUCCUCCGACUGUGGAAUGAAUUUUAAUGUUAAUACAAAAAACAGCGGCCUGUGAUCUCAGCAGGCAUCAGGGGGAGGGGGGUGGUGGUGGGGGGUGCCAGUCGCUUCGAGGUGCAAUUUAUUCAAACCUCUGAGUCUCACAAACUUAAAAGUGGGCUUCAAAAGAGCUCGGGAUUAAUGGCGGAGAAACGCAAAAGCACACACUGGCCUGAGCGCUCACCAUAACUACAGCACAUCAAAGAUUAUUGACCACCGACUUUAAAAACCCGCCCAACUCAUUACUCAACAGUGUUUUCUGUAUGGAUCAGAAGUUGGGCAGUGGUGAGCCGGUUUAGUCUGAAGCAUGAAAGUUCCCUACUGAAGAGAUCUCUGUGGAGGCUGAAUGUGUGUUUUUUUUUUUUUUUGGAUGAAUGUGUAGGUUUUCUUCACACAAGCUGACAUCCUCCCAUACUCCAAAAACAUGCAUGGUAGCUUGACUGGUUACACUAUAAUGACCAUGAAUGUGAAGGGGCAUGCCUGUCUGUCUCAUUUUUUUUUUUUUUUCCUCCGCGGGACGUUCCCCGCCUGUUUGCUGUGACAGCUGGGAUAGGAUCCAGUCUGCCGCGACCCUGAGCAGACUAAAAUGGGUCUGGAAAAAGGAAUGAAUGAAUCAACAGCUGUGCAUUUAUUGUUCUCAUCCCACAGCAGGGCCAUGCAAACAGAAGCUCUGUUUUGAAUAUGCCUGCUGGCAUCCAAGCACGUCGGUCUGAUGUGGCUUUUAAGUGGCUUUUACUCAGCCCGGCGCUGGAUUGCAGCACUUCGCGUUGGCAAACACAUCAGAACCCCGUGCCAAGCUUCCCUCUCCACAGCGCCGCCGCACCAAAACAGUCUCAAUUGUUUAUUUACAAUUUGCUGUGGAAAUCCCCAGUUCUUUAUUGUGAUGAAUAAUUGAGCUGUUUGAUCUGGACACAGUACAAAGGGCUGCUGCUUUCACUUUGAGGCCUGAGGUGGAGGAAGCUGGAGCAGCAUGAGCCGAGGAGGGAGAGCUUCCAUUCCAGGAUAGAGGAGAUCUCAAAGCUCUCCUCCUUUCCUCUGCAGCUGUCGCUAACUCUUGAGGCCACAUUUUAGUCUGCACAGCAGAACGCUCCUGUCACAGAGGCAAAGGAGCGACCUGCCUCUGCCUCACGGGACCAAGCAUAAAUAGUGGAAGUUUAGCCCUGAUUGAACUCAUGUUCUUGUUCAAGGGAUCCUGUCUAGUUAGCCUGUCAUGCAGUUCUCUUCUCUGCUACAUUACUGUCUCCAGACACAACCCUCACAGCAGUUAGUGCUCAGUUCCGUGUUUAAAACUCUAGCGUUCUAGGGUUUGUACUGUUAUUUUAGGGCUUUAAGAAAAAAACGCAAGGCCUUUGAACUCACAUUAAAAGUUAAACCAGGUGGAACUUUUACAAAUCAGGGACUCAGCUUCAGUGGGGACAUAUGUAUGUUUGUGCUUGUGUUGCCUUCCUGCAAUUUGUAGUUUGGAAGUGGGUUAUAUGUUGUUAGAAUUAAAAUAAAUAAGUAAAGAAAAGAAAAAAAAGAAAAAAAAAAAGAGUUAAGUCAAGAAAAUUACCGAAAACAGCUACUUCCGGUUUCCCGACAUAACUUCCGGUUUUGCCGCAGAACUUCCGGUUUUACACAGAGCGGCUGAAAUACACCUUGAGGACAGGGAUAUCUGUUGCCAUCUACGUUGAAGUUCUUUCAAAGCAAUGCUUUGCUGCUUUGAUGGAGCGGCUGCAUGGUGAUGUACUGUAGUAGCUCCACAGCGAGAAGGUCCUGGUGCAGGCCUGUGAUAGACUGGCAACUCGUCCACCUUUACCCAACAGUAGCUGGGAUAGGCUCCAGCAACUCUGUGAACCCAAAAGGGAUGCAGUAAGUUGGGAAAAUGGAUGAAUGGAUUAUUAUACUUUUCAAAAAUAUGUUCAUUAGUAAAAAAUCUCCUUGAAACUUGUUAAAAUAGCACAAGUUUCAAUGACCAAACUUUACCUUCUGCCUGUUUUUCAGUUGAAAUGCUCUGUUUCUCCACAUACAGAAAACAGAACACAGAUGAGUUCAUAACGAUCAUCAUUUUGCUGAAAUGUUCUUUUUUUCCAUAAACAAUUAGCCAUUGUCUCAUUGUCUGAAACAGUUGUUUCAGAAUUGUCUCGCUGUUUAAGUUUAAGACCAUCUUCUGGCCCAAAAAAAAACAUCAUUUUUGCCUGUUGUUACGCCCGAUUUUAGUUUGAGGGAUCUGGGGGCAUAACUAAGAGAACUAAGAAAAAUGUGUAACAAAAAAAAAAAAAAAAAAAGAAUUGUCUCUA